AUUGAACGCUGGCGGCAUGCCUUACACAUGCAAGUCGAACGGCAGCACGGGUGCUUGCACCUGGUGGCGAGUGGCGAACGGGUGAGUAAUACAUCGGAACGUACCUUAUCGUGGGGGAUAACGCAGCGAAAGUUGCGCUAAUACCGCAUACGCCCUGAGGGGGAAAGCGGGGGACCGUAAGGCCUCGCGCGAUUAGAGCGGCCGAUGUCUGAUUAGCUUGUUGGUGAGGUAAAAGCUCACCAAGGCGAUGAUCAGUAGCUGGUCUGAGAGGACGAUCAGCCACACUGGGACUGAGACACGGCCUAGACUCCUACGGGAGGCAGCAGUGGGGAAUUUUGGACAAGGGGGGCAACCCUGAUCCAGCAAUGCCGCGUGAGUGAAGAAGGCCUUCGGGUUGUAAAGCUCUUUUGUCAGGGAAGAAACAGCAGCUCUAACACAGUCUGCGAAUGACGGUACCUGAAGAAUAAGCACCGGCUAACUACGUGCCAGCAGCCGCAGUAA
rnacentral:rRNA from 1 species